UGCUAAGUAAGUUUUCUUUUAUAUAUAUUUCAAAAUGUCAAGCUAUAAAAUUUAAUGGAAAAUUUUCAACGAUGUUAAUAAGCGAAAGUAGGGAGAUUGAAUUCAUAAUGUACGAAGAGUAUAAGGACAAGGGCAUGGAGCAUAUUUUAAUGUAAGAAAAAGGUAAGACUUAUGACUAAUAAGAAAUUUGUUAAUUGCAC
rnacentral:lncRNA from 1 species